GACAGAGGUGCCAAGCGUUAGGCGGAAUCACUGGGCUUAAAGCGUGUGUAGGCGGGCGAUCAAGUACCUUGUGAAAUCCCACGGCUCAACCCUGGAAUGCCGGUGGAUACUGUCGGGCUAGAGUCCGGAAGGGGCGAGUGGAAUUCCUGGUGUAGCGGUGAAAUGCGCAGAUAUCAGGAGGAACACCAAUGGCGAAGGCAGCUCGCUGGGACGUGACUGACGCUGAGACGCGAAAGCGUGGGGAGCAAACAGG
rnacentral:rRNA from 1 species